GACCAGUCGAAGAUAACAGCUGGCUGCAACUGUUUAUUAAAAACACAGCACUGUGCAAACACGAAAGUGGACGGAUACGGUGUGACGCCUGCCCGGUGCCGGAAGGUUAAUUGAUGGGGUUAUCCGUAAGGAGAAGCUCUUGAUCGAAUCCCCGGUAAACGGCGGCCGUAACUAUAACGGUCCUAAUGUAGCGAAAUUCCUUGUCGGGUAAGUUCCGACCUGAACGAAUGGCGUAAUGAUUG
rnacentral:rRNA from 1 species